GAGGAAGGAAUAAACAGUCACAAAACCUGGAAGCUAAAAGAUUCAUAAAUUUGACUACAUAAAAACUCUAAUUUCACAUGGUGAAAAUACUGUAAACAAGAUAAAAUACAAAUAACAAUCUAGGGAUAUAUUUAUGAUCCUAUUGAAGGCAAAAUUAAAAUUGAAUUAAUUACACUUCAUUUUCUUUGUUUUUUCCCUCCCUCCCUCUCUACCUUCUUUCCUUCCUUCCUUUUUCUUUCCUUUUUUGCUAUUCAACUUGAAUAAAUGGAGACUCUUCUCAUUUUCCUUAAUGAGAUGACUAAACAUUGUAAAUACAUCAAUUUACUCAAGUAAUUUAUAUGCUUAAUGUCAUGCUAAUCCUUCCUCCCAAAAAAUUGAAAGUUAAAAAAAUUACUUUGGGUAUUAAAAAAUUAUUCUAAAGUUCACCAGAAGAAUAAAGAUGGAAAAAUAGAUUUACAAUAUCCAGAAAUUGGCUAAUAAAUAAAAUUAUGCUUUCUCCUGAAUGUCAAUAAUACAAAAUCAAAUUCCAUGUGAAUUAGUUAAAUCAUUACAAAAAUAAAAGUUUAGAGAAAAAACUAUUUUAUUUUACUACUUUAUGAAUGGAAAAGUACUUCUAAGAAUGGAAGUGGUGUCGGAAAUCACAAAGGG
rnacentral:lncRNA from 1 species